AAGUGUUCUAUUUUGAGAUCCAUCUACUUUCUUUGGCCAGAGAUGCAAAAACCGGGCUCGGUGGCAUCUGAUUGUGUGUGCCAGGUGCCUAUCUGAGUCUGACAGUGGGGCAGGUGCUUGCUUACAACAAUCUUCUUGACUGUGACAUCAGAGGUGAGAGUAGAGGAACUCCAAGGACUCUUUUGUUGAAAAAAAAUUCCAGAAUUUCUGAGAUUUGGUAUCCAUUUUGGUCUACUUUGACAGAUGUGUGUAUUCUGAAACUAAACCCAGACCAGAUGCUUAUUCUUGGCCUGGUUUUCAAGGUCAUUCAAUCCUGUCUUCAAUGGCCUGGCCUGCCUGGGUCACUGUUACACUGUCCCCUCUCAUGUCAUCAGUGGUUUUGUUCACACUGAUUACCCACAUCCAGAGUUCUCUUUGCCUUUAAACCUCAUUCCAUUCCAAAGGUGCCCUGUGUAUCCUGGCAUUUCCACAGAGCACAGCUCUCCCACACUUGUACUCCCUUUCGCACCCUCGUGCUCCCUCUCCCACACUCGUACUCCCUCUCCCACCCUCGUGCUCCCUCUCCCACACUCGUGCUCCCUCUUCCACACUCGUGCUCCCUCUUCCACACUCGUGCUCCCUCUUCCACACUCGUGCUCCC
rnacentral:lncRNA from 1 species